CUGGCGGCAGGCCUAACACAUGCAAGUCGAGCGGUAGCACAGAGAGCUUGCUCUCGGGUGACGAGCGGCGGACGGGUGAGUAAUGUCUGGGAAACUGCCUGAUGGAGGGGGAUAACUACUGGAAACGGUAGCUAAUACCGCAUAAUGUCGCAAGACCAAAGUGGGGGACCUUCGGGCCUCAUGCCAUCAGAUGUGCCCAGAUGGGAUUAGCUAGUAGGUGGGGUAAUGGCUCACCUAGGCGACGAUCCCUAGCUGGUCUGAGAGGAUGACCAGCCACACUGGAACUGAGACACGGUCCAGACUCCUACGGGAGGCAGCAGUGGGGAAUAUUGCACAAUGGGCGCAAGCCUGAUGCAGCCAUGCCGCGUGUGUGAAGAAGGCCUUCGGGUUGUAAAGCACUUUCAGCGGGGAGGAAGGCGUUAAGGUUAAUAACCUUGGCGAUUGACGUUACCCGCAGAAGAAGCACCGGCUAACUCCGUGCCAGCAGCCGCGGUAAUACGGAGGGUGCAAGCGUUAAUCGGAAUUACUGGGCGUAAAGCGCACGCAGGCGGUCUGUCAAGUCGGAUGUGAAAUCCCCGGGCUCAACCUGGGAACUGCAUUCGAAACUGGCAGGCUAGAGUCUUGUAGAGGGGGGUAGAAUUCCAGGUGUAGCGGUGAAAUGCGUAGAGAUCUGGAGGAAUACCGGUGGCGAAGGCGGCCCCCUGGACAAAGACUGACGCUCAGGUGCGAAAGCGUGGGGAGCAAACAGGAUUAGAUACCCUGGUAGUCCACGCCGUAAACGAUGUCGAUUUGGAGGUUGUGCCCUUGAGGCGUGGCUUCCGGAGCUAACGCGUUAAAUCGACCGCCUGGGGAGUACGGCCGCAAGGUUAAAACUCAAAUGAAUUGACGGGGGCCCGCACAAGCGGUGGAGCAUGUGGUUUAAUUCGAUGCAACGCGAAGAACCUUACCUGGUCUUGACAUCCACAGAACUUAGCAGAGAUGCUUUGGUGCCUUCGGGAACUGUGAGACAGGUGCUGCAUGGCUGUCGUCAGCUCGUGUUGUGAAAUGUUGGGUUAAGUCCCGCAACGAGCGCAACCCUUAUCCUUUGUUGCCAGCGGUUAGGCCGGGAACUCAAAGGAGACUGCCAGUGAUAAACUGGAGGAAGGUGGGGAUGACGUCAAGUCAUCAUGGCCCUUACGACCAGGGCUACACACGUGCUACAAUGGCAUAUACAAAGAGAAGCGACCUCGCGAGAGCAAGCGGACCUCAUAAAGUAUGUCGUAGUCCGGAUUGGAGUCUGCAACUCGACUCCAUGAAGUCGGAAUCGCUAGUAAUCGUAGAUCAGAAUGCUACGGUGAAUACGUUCCCGGGCCUUGUACACACCGCCCGUCACACCAUGGGAGUGGGUUGCAAAAGAAGUAGGUAGCUUAACCUUCGGGAGGGCGCUUACCACUUUGUGAUUCAUGACUGGGGUGAAAAG
rnacentral:rRNA from 1 species